GAGUUUGAUCCUGGCUCAGGAUGAACGCUGGCGGUCUGCUUAACACAGCAAGUCGAACGCAACCCUUCGGGGUUGAGUGGCGGACGGGUGAGUAACGCGUGAGAAUCUGCCUUCAGGUUGGGGACAACCACUGGAAACGGUGGCUAAUACCCAAUGUGCCGCAACGUGAAAGAUUUAUCGCCUGAAGAGGAGCUCGCGUCUGAUUAGCUAGUUGGUGAGGUAAGAGCUCACCAAGGCGUCGAUCAGUAGCUGGUCUGAGAGGACGAUCAGCCACACUGGGACUGAGACACGGCCCAGACUCCUACGGGAGGCAGCAGUGGGGAAUUUUCCGCAAUGGGCGAAAGCCUGACGGAGCAAGACCGCGUGAGGGAGGAAGGCUCUUGGGUUGUAAACCUCUUUUAUCAGGGAAGAAGCUCUGACGGUACCUGAUGAAUAAGCAUCGGCUAACUCCGUGCCAGCAGCCGCGGUAAUAC
rnacentral:rRNA from 1 species